rnacentral:rRNA from 1 species
ACGGAGGGGGCUAGCGUUGUUCGGAAUUACUGGGCGUAAAGCGCACGUAGGCGGCUUUGUAAGUUAGAGGUGAAAGCCCGGGGCUCAACUCCGGAACUGCCUUUAAGACUGCAUCGCUAGAAUUGUGGAGAGGUGAGUGGAAUUCCGAGUGUAGAGGUGAAAUGCGUAGAUAUCUGGAGGAACACCGGUGGCGAAGGCGGCAUUCUGGACUGCAACUGACACUGAAGAACGAAAGCCAGGGGAGCAAACGGGA